CGACCAAUCCUGGGUAGAUUCUCUCAUCUUUAUUCUUAUAAUUUACAUUUGACUUUUACAUUUUAAGUCUUAAUUCAAAACAGCUGGACAGAUGGUUUCUCGGUCUCCCUUUGUAUCUUGCCUUAGAGUGAGUGGUGGGCUGGAUGCAAUGAUCCUCUGACAAAUUUUCUGGGUCCUUUCCAUUAAAGCUGUGUUGGUUAAGCUUGAUUUCAACUUGAUUGGCUUGAGAGACACUUGAUCAGUAAGUAAAGCACACUUCUUGGAGUCUCUGGUCACAGGGGCAUAACCUUGGGCACCUUAUCAGUUGUGUCCUUGGCCCUUCCCGCUCCAGCCCAAGACUACGGCCACAGCUGCUGAGGAGAGGCAGAACUCGUGGGUCUUAGGUUUGUUCCCAGUAUUCGUAAAUCUUCUGGAGUCAGGAUUGAAACAGAUUUUCCUCAUUUGUCCUGCCUAGUCUAUUCCCUGAAACACCUGUGUUUCCCCCUGCAGUCUGACAAAGGCCAGCAUCCUUCUAUAACCAGUGCAGGGCAGAGAUCAGGGCAUCUCUGGAAGAAGUAAAAGGAGAGAGGGGAAAAAAAACUCACGGCAAGGGCAGGCUUCAUUCACGAUAAAGACCUGAGAGGGGCCAUUGGCUCCGAAGUGCCAAAAGCAGCUGUCUCUUAUAGGUUCUACAUUCCUGUGAUAUGGCUGUCUAGCCCUCCACCCUGAGUCCCACCAAGAAGGAAGAGAUUUUAUCUGUCUUGUUCACUGUUGUGUUCCAAGAGGCUGGCAUGAGGCAUGACUGCAUGGCAGACGCUCAGUAGGGCUUUGUGAGAGAAA